UACGUAGGUGGCAAGCGUUGUCCGGAAUUAUUGGGCGUAAAGCGCGCGCAGGUGGUUUCUUAAGUCUGAUGUGAAAGCCCACGGCUCAACCGUGGAGGGUCAUUGGAAACUGGGGAACUUGAGUGCAGAAGAGGAAAGUGGAAUUCCAAGUGUAGCGGUGAAAUGCGUAGAGAUGUGGAGGAACACCAGUGGCGAAGGCGGCUUUCUGGUCUGUAACUGACGCUGAGGCGCGAAAGCGUGGGGAGCAAACAGG
rnacentral:rRNA from 1 species